rnacentral:rRNA from 1 species
AAGUCAGCGGCGGACGGGUGAGUAACACGUGGGCAACCUGCCUGUAAGACUGGGAUAACUUCGGGAAACCGGAGCUAAUACCGGAUAAUAUAAGGAACCUCCUGGUUCUUUAUUGAAAGAUGGUUUCGGCUAUCACUUACAGAUGGGCCCGCGGCGCAUUAGCUAGUUGGUGAGGUAAUGGCUCACCAAGGCGACGAUGCGUAGCCGACCUGAGAGGGUGAUCGGCCACACUGGGACUGAGACACGGCCCAGACUCCUACGGGAGGCAGCAGUAGGGAAUCUUCCACAAUGGACGAAAGUCUGAUGGAGCAACGCCGCGUGAGCGAUGAAGGCCUUCGGGUCGUAAAGCUCUGUUGUUAGGGAAGAACAAGUGCGAGAGUAACUGCUCGCACCUUGACGGUACCUAACCAGAAAGCCACGGCUAACUACGUGCCAGCAGCCGCGGUAAUACGUAGGUGGCAAGCGUUGUCCGGAAUUAUUGGGCGUAAAGCGCGCGCAGGUGGUCCUUUAAGUCUGAUGUGAAAGCCCACGGCUCAACCGUGGAGGGUCAUUGGAAACUGGGGGACUUGAGUGCAGAAGAGGAAAGUGGAAUUCCAAGUGUAGCGGUGAAAUGCGUAGAGAUUUGGAGGAACACCAGUGGCGAAGGCGACUUUCUGGUCUGUAACUGACACUGAGGCGCGAAAGCGUGGGGAGCAAACAGGAUUAGAUACCCUGGUAGUCCACGCCGUAAACGAUGAGUGCUAAGUGUUAGAGGGUUUCCGCCCUUUAGUGCUGCAGCUAACGCAUUAAGCACUCCGCCUGGGGAGUACGGUCGCAAGACUGAAACUCAAAGGAAUUGACGGGGGCCCGCACAA